AACUAUAGAAGAAAGCUAAACCGUAACCAUUACACGAACUAUAGAAGGAAGCUAAACCUUUAAUUUUCUAAAAUCUCUGAAACUAUGGCAAACACUUCGACAAGGGUCUUGUCAGGGAAAUUAAAUCGGACGAUGAAACCGUACAUAAAGAUCAAUAUAGAGAACCAACCAACCAAGGUAAACAGAAUAGGAACUAGACAGAUUAAUCCUGAUACUGUCCCUGCGCCAAAGAUCAACCACAAAUGGUCCUUGCCAAACGUGGGAGACACAAGUUGGCAAAUUGCGACAAGGCCAGUGAUGGACGACAUGGUAUACACGAAAACUUCCACAAUCUUUCCCAAAUAAAGCGUUAUAACGCAGAUUA
rnacentral:lncRNA from 1 species